rnacentral:misc_RNA from 1 species
UCCGGUUUGUCACCGGCAGUCUCCCUAGAGUUCUCAGCCGAACUGCUAGCAACUAAUGAUAGGGGUUGCGCUCGUUGCGGGACUUAACCCAACACCUCACGGUACGAGCUGACGACAGCCAUGCAGCACCUAGUUUCGCGCCCUUGCGGGAAGCACCGUUUCCGGUGCGGUCACUAACUUUCAAGCCCAGGUAAGGUUCCUCGCGUAUCAUCGAAUUAAACCACAUGCUCCGCCGCUUGUGCGGGCCCCCGUCAAUUCCUUUGAGUUUAGCCUUGCGGCCGUACUCCCCAGGCGGGGCGCUUAAUGCGUUAGCUACGGCACGGAUCCCGUGGAAGGAAACCCACACCUAGCGCCCACCGUUUACGGCGUGGACUAC